GAUGAACGCUAGCGGCAGGCUUAACACAUGCAAGUCGAGGGGCAGCGAGGGUAAUAGCAAUAUUACCUGUCGGCGACCGGCGCACGGGUGCGUAACGCGUAUGCAACCUACCAUCAACAGGGGGAUAACACUGAGAAAUUGGUACUAAUACCCCAUAAUAUCUCAUGCGGCAUCGCAUGGGGUUGAAAACUCCGGUGGUUGAUGAUGGGCAUGCGUUGUAUUAGCUGGUUGGUGAGGUAACGGCUCACCAAGGCGACGAUACAUAGGGGGACUGAGAGGUUAACCCCCCACAUUGGUACUGAGACACGGACCAAACUCCUACGGGAGGCAGCAGUGAGGAAUAUUGGUCAAUGGACGCAAGUCUGAACCAGCCAUGCCGCGUGCAGGAUGACGGCUCUAUGAGUUGUAAACUGCUUUUGUACGAGGGUAAACCCCGAUACGUGUAUUGGGUGAAAGUAUCGUACGA
rnacentral:rRNA from 1 species